UUUAGGGAGACCUACACCCCUCAGAAAUCGAAAAGCAAACAGCUAUAUAGAUACUGAGUUGGUCUAACCUAGGUCGGUCGAGAAUUGGUAUAAAGCUUUCAAAGUAUUAAUGGUUCAGAAUAUCCAACAAAAUUAAAAUUAGUGAGAGUUCCAGCAACAUGACUUUGGUGUCAGACUGCUGAGUAAGUUCUCAGCCAGAACCUUGAAAACUGCAUAGUAACGCGAAAUUAGCAGGCAGACACAGACAUUCUUUAUGGAUGUUGUGAAUGCAAUCAUGUGAAACACCAGAUGAAUUGAGU
rnacentral:misc_RNA from 1 species